rnacentral:rRNA from 1 species
UACGUAGGGCGCAAGCGUUGUCCGGAAUUAUUGGGCGUAAAGAGCUCGUAGGCGGUCUGUCGCGUCUGCCGUGAAAACCCGAGGCUUAACCUCGGGCUGGCGGUGGAUACGGGCAGACUAGAGGUAGGUAGGGGAGAAUGGAAUUCCCGGUGUAGCGGUGAAAUGCGCAGAUAUCGGGAGGAACACCGGUGGCAAAGGCGGUUCUCUGGGCCUUACCUGACGCUGAGGAGCGAAAGCAUGGGGAGCGAACAGG